rnacentral:rRNA from 1 species
UGGGCAACCUGCCCCUCUCUCUGGGAUAACCCCCGGGGAAACCGGAGCUAAUACCGGAUACUCCGAUCGGAUCACAUGGCUCGAUCGGGAAAGGUCCGCCGGAGAGGGAUGGGCCCGCGGCCUAUCAGCUUGUUGGUGAGGUAACGGCUCACCAAGACGACGACGGGUAGCUGGUCUGAGAGGAUGGCCAGCCACAUUGGGACUGAGACACGGCCCAGACCUCCGUACGGGAGCA